rnacentral:rRNA from 1 species
CCUACGGGUGGCAGCAGUGGGGAAUAUUGGACAAUGGGGGCAACCCUGAUCCAGCCAUGCCGCGUGAGUGAUGAAGGCCCUAGGGUUGUAAAGCUCUUUUGUGCGGGAAGAUAAUGACGGUACCGCAAGAAUAAGCCCCGGCUAACUUCGUGCCAGCAGCCGCGGUAAUACGAAGGGGGCUAGCGUUGCUCGGAAUCACUGGGCGUAAAGGGUGCGUAGGCGGGUCUUUAAGUCAGGGGUGAAAUCCUGGAGCUCAACUCCAGAACUGCCUUUGAUACUGAAGAUCUUGAGUCCGGGAGAGGUGAGUGGAACUGCGAGUGUAGAGGUGAAAUUCGUAGAUAUUCGCAAGAACACCAGUGGCGAAGGCGGCUCACUGGCCCGGUACUGACGCUGUGGCACGAAAGCGUGGGGAGCAAACAGGAUUAGAUACCCGUGUAGUC